AUUGUGUCUCAAAAUCAUCUUGAUGUGAGACUCAAGUAGAACAGUUGGGGAAGCCAGGAUCAAAUUAUCCACCAUAUAAAAGCCAGUUUGUCAAAUCACUCCUUGAGAGGAACACAGAAGAGGAGCAAUUUCGAGUAACAGAUGGAACACACAUGGUGAACGAGUCAAAGCCAACAUCGCAAUCAUCCUCCUUAUGUUAAGUGGCCUGUAAUGUUAUGUCAUACAACCCAGGAGAGCUGUUACAUAU